rnacentral:lncRNA from 1 species
AAGGAUUAAUUAAUAUGUUAAUUAAUCAAACGAAUAAGUUCGAUAAAGACCUCGGGAUAGUUUUGGACCUUAAGGCCCAAUGGGCUUCGAAUGUCAAGCCCAUUGACUUAAGAUGUAUGACAACUUAAUGAAUAAAGAUUCACAAAGGCCCAAAAGCCCAAAAAUCCCAAAGUAGGCCGGCCAUGUAGAUGAAUUAGGGUUUUUGUUCUUUAGGUCACUUAUUUGAAGGGACUAUAUAAAGGACUUUAUAGCCAAAUAUUCAUAAUGUGAUUAAGGGUUUAUUUUGGGUGAAAAUGGGUGAGAAUUGUCUCUCCAUUUUCUCUCUAAAGAGGCCAACACCUUGGAGGGUACAUCUAGCAAUCCUACUACUCCAAGGUCACUCAUUUCUUCUACAAUCAAACCUUGGUGAAGAUACUUAGAGGUUCUCAAUUUUGGGAACUAGGAGAACCUAUUCUUCCAUCCAAAUCCAUGGAUCUAAGAAGUAAGGAAUGAAGGCCCUAUCUCUUUGGGUGAUUAGCCUUUGCUUAUGCAAAGAGGAAUCUACAAAGGUAUUAAUCUCAACUCACUUUGUUUUUGAGUUGAUUAUUGGUUCACCAAUCUACUAGGCUUUGAAUUUCAUGGUAAUGUUUUGUUUUUGAGUGCAUACAAGCAUGAUUCCGCCUUUAAUUGUUAAUUGCAUGCUAUAUGAUGUUGCUCAAAUGAACAUGUUUUUCAAAAUAAUUCCUUCACUCUCUUCCUUUCUAUCUCUCCCGUGAGAGUCUCACAACCUUCUUCACCUUUCAUUCAUUUUAUAAACAAAAGAGAACAUUAUUCACUUUACAAAUUUUCCACAAAUGAAUAGUGAAAAACUGUGUAUAAAUAGUAACAAACUAUUCAUGUAGGCCAUCCACAUAUUAUUCACAACAAU